CUGUCAGAUCCCGACUCCGGCAGCGACUUCAAGACCACUUUGCCCACCCAGAAAAAAACGUGGACGCCCCCAGAGGUCCAACCAAGGGCCGACCCUGAAGCACUCCUGGCGUUCCAAUGGGAUCAAGACGAACCCGGAGGAGAAUUCCCUUUUCCAGGCUGUUUUGUUGGGAAAAGCAGUGGUGGAGACGUUGGUGGAUGAGUGGCUGGAAUUGUACAAACAGGAUCAGGAAUCGGGAUUGUUGGAGCUGCUCAACUUCAUCAUCAGGGCUUGCGGGUGCAGAGGU